rnacentral:rRNA from 1 species
UGACCUCGGAUCAGGUAGGAAUACCCGCUGAACUUAAGCAUAUCAAUAAGCGGGAGGAA